rnacentral:tRNA from 1 species
GCGUUAGUGGUGUUAGGCGUAGCAUCGCUGCCCGGAAAGCAGAAGGCGCACGUUCGAAUCCCGCCUGGCGCA